rnacentral:rRNA from 1 species
AGCGAACGCUGGCGGCAGGCUUAACACAUGCAAGUCGAGCGGGCAUAGCAAUAUGUCAGCGGCAGACGGGUGAGUAACGCGUGGGAACGUACCUUUUGGUUCGGAACAACACAGGGAAACUUGUGCUAAUACCGGAUAAGCCCUUACGGGGAAAGAUUUAUCGCCGAAAGAUCGGCCCGCGUCUGAUUAGCUAGUUGGUGAGGUAAUGGCUCACCAAGGCGACGAUCAGUAGCUGGUCUGAGAGGAUGAUCAGCCACAUUGGGACUGAGACACGGCCCAAACUCCUACGGGAGGCAGCAGUGGGGAAUAUUGGACAAUGGGCGCAAGCCUGAUCCAGCCAUGCCGCGUGAGUGAUGAAGGCCCUAGGGUUGUAAAGCUCUUUUGUGCGGGAAGAUAAUGACGGUACCGCAAGAAUAAGCCCCGGCUAACUUCGUGCCAGCAGCCGCCGUAA